rnacentral:lncRNA from 1 species
AUGAGGUUGAACACCUCCUUCUCAAAAACCUGCUGCUAUAUACUCAUUGAAGUGGAUGCUAUACACAAGCUUGGUUCUUUCUACAAGAAGCACAUGGCCACAGAAAUAUUUGUUGAUACUUAAGUUCACAAGAUUCAGCAUCUUGUUACUCAAUGUGUCCUUCAACACAAAUGAAAUCUCUCUCUCUCUCUCAAAACACAGUACCCUAAGGAAGAUAAAAAUUUGGCUGCAGAAUAUCAUAAACUAUUGGCCAAGAGAGUGAAGGAAGCCAAAGAAAAG